GCCUUAUUAGCUCAGAGGUUAGAGCAUUGGUCUCGUAAACCAAGGGUCCAGAGUUCAAUUCUCUGAUGAGACU